rnacentral:piRNA from 1 species
UCCAGUCUCUACAGGACUCGAUGGGCAGA